CCAAUAGCGUAUAUUAAAGUUGUUGCAGUUAAAAAGCUCGUAGUUGAAUUUCGGGGUUAGUAGGUUGGUCAUGCCUUUGGUAUGUACUGGUCUCACUGAUUCCUCCUUCCUGAUGAACCGUAAUGCCAUUAAUUUGGUGUUGCGGGGAAUUUGGACUGUUACUUUGAAAAAAUUAGAGUGUUUAAAGCAAGCUAACGCUUGAAUACAUUAGCAUGGAAUAAUGGAAUAGGACGUUCGAUCCUAUUUUGUUGGUUUCUAGGAUUGACGUAAUGAUUAAUAGGGAUAGUUGGGGGCAUUAGUAUUCAAUUGUCAGAGGUGAAAUUCUUGGAUUUAUUGAAGACUAACUACUGCGAAAGCAUUUGCCAAGGAUGUUUACAUUAAUCGAGAACGAAAGUUAGGGGAUCGAAGACGAUCAGAUACCGUCGUAGUCUUAACCAUAAACUAUGCCGACUAGGGAUCGGAUGAUGUUAAUUUUUUAAUGACUCAUUCGGCGCCUUACG
rnacentral:rRNA from 1 species